UGUGACGUGACAAGAAGUUCCAUAAGAUCUAUAAAAGCCAUUGGCGGGAGGGGACUCAAGAUGGCGCUGUGAGAACAACCCAGGAUUGGAGCCCGCGUUGAAUUCGCAAACGAAGUGCAGAAUAUUGAUUCAAUUGCUAUCCCUGGGAAGACAGAUGGGAUUAAGAUUUCAUCUAUUUGCCUUUGUAUGGAAAUCUGUUUGCCUUUGUAUAGAAAUCUUUUCUAUCCAAUGGGACAUGGAGGAAUGACCUACAAGGGCAGGCACUGGUUGAAAAUGGUUCCCAUGAAUUAACCCCCAGGCACUUGCAGCCUGCCCUGCACAGGGCUGAGGAAACACCUGCUGCCAGAG
rnacentral:lncRNA from 13 species